rnacentral:rRNA from 1 species
UACAGAGGGGGCAAGCGUUGUUCGGAAUUACUGGGCGUAAAGCGUGCGCAGGCGGUUCGUUAAGACAGAUGUGAAAUCCCCGGGCUUAACCUGGGAACUGCAUUUGUGACUGGCGAGCUAGAGUAUGGCAGAGGGGGGUAGAAUUCCACGUGUAGCAGUGAAAUGCGUAGAGAUGUGGAGGAAUACCGAUGGCGAAGGCAGCCCCCUGGGCCAAUACUGACGCUCAUGCACGAAAGCGUGGGGAGCAAACAGG